UCUCGGGAUCAAAUCGUGCGCAACUAAACCCUUUGUACAUUGUCACAAAUCCCUAAUCCUGUUCUCCCCCUUCUACCUAAUCGUUCUCUCACAUGCAACCAAACCCAAACCCAAGAGGUGAUGUAAUGGGAUAGUGAAAGUGGGUAGCCACCUUCUACACGGCGUCGACCUACAACACUGUGAGGAAGCCGUUCUGCUUGACGAUCGCCUCUACAAAGACGAGGUUGUUGGUCUUGAUGACCUCCGUGCAGAUGUUAUGGACAAGGCGGAUCCCAUUCUCUUCAGAGUCUACGAUGAUGAUCGCUCGUGUUGACUUGGAGGGUUUGAGGCGCUUGUAAGGUCAGGCUAUUGCAGCUUCGACAUUAACUCGAUGAAUCAAAGCCUACCAUUAAAGUGAAAUCCCGUGAGACAAAGUAAAAUAUAAAUUUUUAUUUGUAAAGAAAAGAAGCACACCAUUGUUAGUUUGAGAAACAUAGCAACAGAGUUCAAUGGGGAAGAGAAUGUUUCAUGGGGUGGCGUUGAUGCUGUUGUUUUUGUGGGUUUGUGGUGUCACUACCUUUGUGACUUAUGACCACAGAGCCAUUAUAGUUGAUGGCAAGAGAAGAAUUUUGAUCUCUGGCUCCAUUCACUACCCAAGAAGCACACCCCAAAUGUGGCCAGACCUUAUUCAAAAGGCCAAAGAUGGAGGCCUUGAUGUUAUUCAGACUUAUGUGUUCUAGAAUGGACAUAAACCUUAUCCUGGAAAAGUAAUGCAAAUACAUUUCAAUAAUUUUUAUUUUUAUUGGCUUUUCUAGCUAGUCUCGUGUAUCCUAAUAAACCAUGGUUCUAAUUCUUGUCGGGAGAUGUUUAGUUUAAUGUAUGGUCGGAAUAGUUAUGCCCUUUUAAGGACCAUGCUUGUGAAAAAAAGAAUAUGUCUAAUCUUUGUUUUUUUGUUUACAAAUAAAAAGUUUAAAGUGAAAAUUUCUCAUUGAGUUUUUAUGUAAUGUUGAAAAUUUUCAAUACUAUUUUGAAGAUAGGUAUGACUUGGUUAAGUUCGUGAAGCUGGUGCAGCAAGCAGGCCUUUAUGUUCAUCUCUGUAUUGGUCCCUUCAUAUGUGCUGAAUGGAACUUUGGGCAAUGAUUUUAACGAUGUAAAUGUACACCUUCUCUAGGGAAGGGGAAAAUUCUUUGGUAUCAAAAGGAAAAUAAUGAUUCUUAGGGAUCUCUCAAAGGUCACAUGAUCUAUUUUAUGUUCAGGGGAUUUCCUGUUUGGCUCAAGUAUGUUCCAAACAUUGCUUUCUGAACUGACAACGAGCCUUUCAAGGCGGAAAUGCAAAAUUUCACAACUAAGAUUGUUAACUUGAUGAAAGCAGAGAGGUUGUUUCAAUCCCAGGGUGGUCCAAUAAUUAUAUCACAGAAAGAGAACGAGUAUGGACCAGAUGAACGUCAAUUUGGUGCACCUGGAAAAAUUGAUAUUAAAGUGAAGUUUUCUGAUGAUUUUGCAAUUUUGCUCUUUCAUUAUGAUGGUCGGACUAGUGAAUGGGAUCAAUUUGAGUGGUCAAGGAAUGCAAUCCAUAUUAGUGCAAGGAAACAAGCAAAAUGGUGGUAUGCUAAAAGAUUUUUGCACCCUGAUAUAGUUUCAGCCUAUGAAUAUAUUUUUAUUUGGGACGAAGAUCUUGGAAUAGAACACUUAAUGGAAACAAGUAUAUUAAUUUAGUGAAAAAACAUGGUUUGGAGAUCUCUCAACCUGGUCUUGAGCCCAAUAAUGGAUUGACAUGGGAGAUGACAAAAAGGAGGGGUGACAAAGAAGUUCACAUGAUUACAGAAGAGAAACCAGGCUGGUGUAGCGAUCCACAUUUGCCUCCUUGUGCUGCGUAUGCUCUCUAUUCCUUUGUUCAAAGUUGAAUUGUUGUAUUGCAUAUGAUUCAGAAUGAUCUAGUACAUGGAUGAGGAUUGGACUUUGCUUUCAGAAGAUGUGUAGAGGUCAGUAAAUUCUGUUUAUUUUUUCCUAAUGUUGUGAGCUUGAACUUUGAAUCCUUUUUGUUAGCCUUAUUGAUA